rnacentral:rRNA from 1 species
CCUACGGGUGGCUGCAGUAAGGAAUAUUGGACAAUGGGCGCAAGCCUGAUCCAGCCAUGCCGCGUGCAGGAUGAAGGGCUCAGCUCUGUAAACUGCUUUUGUGGAACCCGUUGUACCAAAAGAAUAAGGGACGGCUAACUUCGUGCCAGCAGCCGCGGUAAUACGAAGGUCCCAAGCGUUAUCCGGAUUUAUUGGGUUUAAAGGGUGCGUAGGCGGGCUAUUAAGUCAGUGGUGAAAGCCUCAAGCUUAACUUGAGAAUUGCCAUUGAUACUGAUGACCUUGAGUACAUUUGAAGUGGGCGGAAUGUGUCAUGUAGCGGUGAAAUGCUUAGAUAUGACACAGAACACCGAUUGCGUAGGCAGCUCACUAAACUGUACUGACGCUGAGGCACGAAAGCGUGGGGAGCAAACAGGAUUAGAUACCCUUGUAGUC